GUUGUAUAGUCAAGUAAUUAAGUGCAUGUGGUGGAUGCCUUGGCAGUCAGAGGCGAUGAAAGACGUGAUAGCCUGCGAAAAGCUCCGGGGGAGGCGGCAAAUAUCCUUUGAUCCGGAGAUGUCUGAAUGGGGGAACCCACCUACUUUAAGGUAGGUAUUGCAACAUGAAUACAUAGUGUUGCAAGGCGAACGAGGGGAAGUGAAACAUCUCAGUACCCUUAGGAAAAGAAAUCAAUUGAGAUUCCCUCAGUAGCGGCGAGCGAACGGGGAUCAGCCCAUUAAGUUAUGUGUGUUUUAGUGGAACGCUCUGGGAAGUGCGAACGUAGAGGGUGAUAUUCCCGUACACGAAAGGGCACACAUAAUGAUGACGAGUAGGGCGAGGCACGUGAAACCUUGUCUGAAUAUGGGGGGACCAUCCUCCAAGGCUAAAUACUCCUGACUGACCGAUAGUGAACCAGUACCGUGAGGGAAAGGCGAAAAGAACCCCUGUGAGGGGAGUGAAAUAGAUCCUGAAACCGCAUGCAUACAAGCAGUGGGAGCACCUUCGUGGUGUGACUGCGUACCUUUUGUAUAAUGGGUCAGCGACUUAUAUUCAGUAGCGAGGUUAACCGUAUAGGGGAGCCGUAGAGAAAUCGAGUCUUAAUAGGGCGUUUAGUUGCUGGGUAUAGACCCGAAACCAGGCGAUCUAUCCAUGAGCAGGUUGAAGGUUGGGUAACACUAACUGGAGGACCGAACCCACUGUCGUUGAAAAGCCAGGGGAUGACUUGUGGAUAGGGGUGAAAGGCUAAUCAAGCCUGGUGAUAGCUGGUUCUCCCCGAAAGCUAUUUAGGUAGCGCCUCGGACGAAUACCAUAGGGGGUAGAGCACUGUUUCGGCUAGGGGGUCAUCCCGACUUACCAAACCGAUGCAAACUCCGAAUACCUAUGAGUACUAUCCGGGAGACAGACUGCGGGUGCUAACGUCCGUAGUCAAGAGGAAAACAAUCCAGACCGCCAGCUAAGGCCCCAAAAUCAUAGUUAAGUGGGAAACGAUGUGGGAAGGCAUAGACAGCUAGGAGGUUGGCUUAGAAGCAGCCACCCUUUAAAGAAAGCGUAAUAGCUCACUAGUCGAGUCGGCCUGCGCGGAAGAUGUAACGGGGCUAAAACUAUGUGCCGAAGCUGCGGAUGUAUACUUUGUAUACGUGGUAGGGGAGCGUUCUGUAAGCCGAUGAAGGUGUGUUGAGAAGCAUGCUGGAGGUAUCAGAAGUGCGAAUGCUGACGUGAGUAACGACAAAACGGGUGAAAAACCCGUUCGCCGAAAGACCAAGGGUUCCAGUCCAACGUUAAUCGGGGCUGGGUGAGUCGACCCCUAAGGCGAGGCCGAAAGGCGUAGUCGAUGGGAAAAUGGUUAAUAUUCCAUUACUUCUGUGUAAUGCGAUGAGAGGACGGAGAAGGCUAAAUCAGCCUGGCGUUGGUUGUCCAGGUGAAAGGAUGUAGGCAUGUAUCUUAGGCAAAUCCGGGGUACUCUAUGCUGAGAUCUGAUAGCAAGCUGUACUUGUACAGCGAAGUGGUUGAUGCCAUGCUUCCAGGAAAAGUCUCUAAGCUUCAGUUACACAGGAAUCGUACCCGAAACCGACACAGGUGGUCAGGUCGAGUAGACCAAGGCGCUUGAGAGAACUCUGCUGAAGGAACUAGGCAAAAUGGUACCGUAACUUCGGGAGAAGGUACGCUGUUGUUGGUGAUGGAACUCGCUUCCUGAGCUGACGACAGCCGCAGAAACCAGGCCGCUGCAACUGUUUAUUAAAAACAUAGCACUCUGCAAACACGAAAGUGGACGUAUAGGGUGUGAUGCCUGCCCGGUGCUGGAAGGUUAAUUGAUGGGGUUAGCGUAAGCGAAGCUCUUGAUCGAAGCCCCAGUAAACGGCGGCCGUAACUAUAACGGUCCUAAGGUAGCGAAAUUCCUUGUCGGGUAAGUUCCGACCUGCACGAAUGGCAUAAUGAUGGCGGCGCUGUCUCCAGCAGAGGCUCAGUGAAAUCGAAAUCGCUGUGAAGAUGCAGUGUACCCGCGGCUAGACGGAAAGACCCCGUGAACCUUUACUGCAGCUUGACACUGAACUUUGACCUUACUUGUGUAGGAUAGGUGGGAGGCUUUGAAGCUGGAACGCUAGUUCCAGUGGAGCCGUCCUUGAAAUACCACCCUGGUAAUGUUGAGGUUCUAACUCUGUCCCGUGAUCCGGGACGAGGACCGUGUCUGGUGGGUAGUUUGACUGGGGCGGUCUCCUCCUAAAGAGUAACGGAGGAGUACGAAGGUGCGCUCAGCGUGGUCGGAAAUCACGCGUAGAGUAUAAAGGCAAAAGCGCGCUUAACUGCGAGACCCACAAGUCGAGCAGGUACGAAAGUAGGUCUUAGUGAUCCGGUGGUUCUGUAUGGAAGGGCCAUCGCUCAACGGAUAAAAGGUACUCUGGGGAUAACAGGCUGAUACCGCCCAAGAGUUCAUAUCGACGGCGGUGUUUGGCACCUCGAUGUCGGCUCAUCUCAUCCUGGGGCUGAAGCAGGUCCCAAGGGUAUGGCUGUUCGCCAUUUAAAGAGGUACGCGAGCUGGGUUUAGAACGUCGUGAGACAGUUCGGUCCCUAUCUACCGUGGGCGCUGGAAAUUUGAGAGGAUCUGCUCCUAGUACGAGAGGACCAGAGUGGACGAACCUCUGGUGUACCGGUUGUGACGCCAGUCGCAUCGCCGGGUAGCUAUGUUCGGAAGGGAUAACCGCUGAAAGCAUCUAAGCGGGAAGCCUACCUCAAGAUAAGAUUUCCCUAGGACUUUAUGUCCUCUAAAGAGCCGUUCGAGACUAGGACGUUGAUAGGUUGGAUGUGGAAGCAUAGUGAUAUGUGAAGCUGACCAAUACUAAUUGCUCGUGAGGCUUGACUAUACAACACCCAAGCAGUUG
rnacentral:rRNA from 1 species